rnacentral:rRNA from 1 species
UACGUAGGGUGCGAGCGUUAAUCGGAAUUACUGGGCGUAAAGCGUGCGCAGGCGGUUCGCCAAGUCAGGUGUGAAAUCCCCGGGCUUAACCUGGGAAUUGCGCUUGAAACUAGUGGGCUUGAGUGUGGCAGAGGGGGGUGGAAUUCCACGUGUAGCAGUGAAAUGCGUAGAGAUGUGGAGGAACACCGAUGGCGAAGGCAGCCCCCUGGGUCAACACUGACGCUCAUGCACGAAAGCGUGGGGAGCAAACAGG